ACAUCGCAGUGUCUGGUAAGAAACAGCACAGCUUUUAUUUGCUCCCUUGGUGAGCCAUCGCUCGACAGACUGGACCAGCUCAAAUGGCUUUUCGUGGUCCUGCGACUGAUCAAAUGGGAAGGAUGAAGAUCCAAACCAUCGUCCGUCUGACGUGCCUUCUGCUUUUAGUGGUUCAAUUAGCUUCAAUUACUAAAGGACAAACACCCAUUGUACUUCCCAAAACUUUGACCUCAGAGAGUGGGAAAACUGUCAUCUUUGAAUGUGGCUACAGUGGACUAAACAAUGAAAAAAUCUUGUUUUACAUGAUGGAUUCAAAGCUUAAUGCAUCCGUGUCUUGCCCAGGAGACAAAACCAAAUACAUACCAGAAGAGUCAAUGAGAGCCUACUGUACGGCCCGAACAGUUGGAGUGAUAGCUACUUGGGAGCUUGCAGGAAUAACAAAAGAUGACAACGGCACAGUUUUUUUGU
ensembl:processed_transcript